rnacentral:rRNA from 1 species
GAUGAACGCUGGCGGCGUGCUUAACACAUGCAAGUCGAACGGUGAACGAGGGAGCUUGCUCCCUCCGGAUCAGUGGCGAACGGGUGAGUAACACGUGAGCAAUCUGCCCUGGACUCUGGGUUAAGCGUUGGAAACGACGUCUAAUACCGGAUACGAGGCGUGGGGGCAUCGCCAACGCCUGGAAAGAACUUCGGUCCAGGAUGAGCUCGCGGCCUAUCAGCUAGUUGGUGUGGUAACGGCUCACCAAGGCGACGACGGGUAGCCGGCCUGAGAGGGUGACCGGCCACACUGGGACUGAGACACGGCCCAGACUCCUACGGGAGGCAGCAGUGGGGAAUAUUGCACAAUGGGCGCAAGCCUGAUGCAGCAACGCCGCGUGAGGGACGACGGCCUUCGGGUUGUAAACCUCUUUUAGCAGGGAAGAAGCGAAAGUGACGGUACCUGCAGAAAAAGCACCGGCUAACUACGUGCCAGCCGCCGCCGUAAGAC